UCGUUAUUAUCGAUGGCGUGACGCAGGAGGAUAGUGUGUGCUAGCUAUUGGAUGCUAGUCUAAGCGUUUAGGCAGUGAGAGUAGGCAAAUCCGCUUUCAUAAUGCUGAGGCGUGAUGGGGAAGGUUCCACGGAACCGAAGUACAUGAUUCCACGCUGCCAAGAAAAGCGUCUAGAGAGAGAAGUAGUGCCCGUACCGCAAACCGACACAGGUA
rnacentral:rRNA from 1 species